rnacentral:tRNA from 1 species
GCAGUGGUGGUUCAGCGGUAAAAUUCUUGCCUUCCAAGCAGGAGACCCGGGUGUGAGUCCCAGCCAAGGCA